rnacentral:rRNA from 1 species
GACGAACGCUGGCGGCGUGCUUAACACAUGCAAGUCGAGCGGAGCGGCGAACGGGUGAGUAACGCGUGAGUAACUGCCCCCCUCUCUGGGAUAACAGUUGGAAACGGCUGCUAAUACCGGAUAGUGGGGGAUGACUCGCGUCCUAUCAGCUUGUUGGUGGGGUAGUGGCCUACCAAGGCGACGACGGGUAGCCGGCCUGAGAGGGCGACCGGCCACAUUGCGCUAAGGUACGACCCAAACGCCAACGGGGGGCAGCAGUGGGGAAUCUUGCACAAUGGUGGAAAGCGUAAUGCAGUAGCGCCGCGGGCGGAAUGACGGCCUUGGGGUUGGAAACCGCUUUCAGCCAUGACGCGGUAGUGGCAGAAGAAGCACCGGCUAACUACGUGCCAGCAGCCGCGGUAAUUC